AGGGUUCUCUUUGGAGUAAAAUAUUUAUUACAGUGAUUUUGUUUCCUGGACAAAACAAACAAACAAACAAACAAAAAACAAACAAACAAAAAAACCCUCUAAAUAUCAAACAUGAAAAGCAAAGCUAGAAAAUUAAAAUGGCGUGAAUGGUUUUAUACAUUUUGACCGAAUUUACCUGUGACUUUCAGAAUGUUAACAACAUCUUUGGAUAUGUUUCUGUUUUAGAUUUUUCCUUUCAGAUAUUUUCAGUUUCUUGGUCUGCCUGGCCUCUGUAAAUGUGUUGAAUGAUAGAGCUAUCAGGCAUGCUAAGGCAACACUCUCUGAGGUCUUUAUUCCAGCAGAAAUGAGGAAGGAGCUGAAAAACGUGCCUCUCUGGCCUACUGCGCGGCCCAUUUUCAUUCUAUUGCUCAUGAAGCAUUGCAGAACCUGAACACUUAGUAACUCCCAAAGCCUGGACUACAGGUGACAGUCACAGCACCUGCAAGAACAAAAGCGUGGGCUUACCGAUGGUGACCACAUUUUAUUAGCCCUUUGGUGUUCAUUGUCAUAGAGCUGUAUUUGAACAUUGAUGCUUUGGGCCAAGACUUGAAUGGCCACCGUUUCAAUAGUUGCCACUGUUUUUGUCCGCAUAGAGUUUUUCUGAACUACAACAAGCAAAACUGUAUUUUGUCAAAUGUCACAAAAGUGAAACUGUUACUAAUCUUAGAUGUGUUGCAUAUUUUGUGUUUCUUUUCCAAACUCUUUCACUAGCUGCGGUGACAAAGCUGUUUGGCUGUAUUGACAGCAUGUGGUGUCUUUUCCAGAAGCAACUCUAGGAGAGCCAGUGUCUACUGUGGACUCCUCACAUCCCCAUUACAGGGUCACCAACAAAACUGAAAUGGCAAUUUAUAUGCUGUAAUUUUUUUUCCCUGAGAAUCAAAGGGGAUGGCGCCAGGCCUGGCUAUUAGUCACUAGUGUGUAGUACUGUGAUCAGAAGUAGGAAGUUUAUCUUGCAUAGAAUAAUUGUGGUUUUUGAGGCAGCUCCUCAUUGCUUUUUUUUUUUCCUUUUGCUGUGAAGAUCAUGGAUUUGGGGUGUCCUCACGAAGUGGGCCUAAGACAGUAACGUUGCAACUUCAUGUCUUCGAACCUACCAUGUAUCUGAACCAUGUAUCUGAACCCAAAGAUUAAAAAAAAAAAAAGGCAGGAAGCAUCCUCGACAGGCCUAAGCUCCCUGCCCCUUAUCAGUAUUAACUUCAGCAGGAGUUAUAUCUUUUUUCCACAAAGUUCCACCAUUUGAUUCUAUUAUAUAUCAGAGAACCUGCUAAUGACUUUCUUUUUGGGAAUAGAAAUAUGUGUCAAAUACUUUCACUAAAGGCAUGGGUAUAAUGAAUAUGCCCCUUUGUUUCAAAUUUAUCUGACUCAUU
rnacentral:lncRNA from 1 species